rnacentral:rRNA from 1 species
UACGUAGGGCGCAAGCGUUGUCCGGAAUUAUUGGGCGUAAAGAGCUCGUAGGCGGCCUGACAGGUCUGCUGUGAAAACUCGAGGCUCAACCUCGAGAUGUCGGCGGAAACCGUCUGGCUAGAGUCCGGAAGAGGAGAGUGGAAUUCCUGGUGUAGCGGUGAAAUGCGCAGAUAUCAGGAAGAACACCUAUGGCGAAGGCAGCUCUCUGGGACGGUACUGACGCUGAGACGCGAAAGCGUGGGGAGCGAACAGG